GAACGCUAGCGGCAGGCUUAACACAUGCAAGUCGAGGGGCAGCGUGAGGGUUAGCAAUAACCCUUGACGGCGACCGGCGCAAGGGUGCGUAACGCGUGAGCAACUUGCCCUUAUCAGGGGGGAUAACCGGUGGAAACGCCGACUAAUACCCCCAUGGCAUCACAAUGAGGCAUCUUUUUGUGAUUAAAGAAAUUCGGAUAAGGAUAGGCUCGCGUGACAUUAGCUAGACGGCGGGGUAACGGCCCACCGUGGCAACGAUGUCUAGGGGUUCUGAGAGGAAGGUCCCCCACACUGGAACUGAGACACGGUCCAGACUCCUACGGGAGGCAGCAGUGAGGAAUAUUGGUCAAUGGUCUGACGACUGAACCAGCCAUGCCGCGUGAAGGUCACGGCCCUAUGGGUCUUAAACUUCUUUUGCGAGGGAGCAAUAAGGCGCACGUGUGCGUCGAUGAGAGUACCUCGCGAAUAAGCAUCGGCUAACUCCGUG
rnacentral:rRNA from 1 species